rnacentral:rRNA from 1 species
GGGGAAUCUUCCGCAAUGGGCGCAAGCCUGACGGAGCAAUACCGCGUGAGGGAGGAAGGCCUUUGGGUUGUAAACCUCUUUUAAUCGGGAAGGAAAAAAUGACGGUACCGAUUGAAUCAGCAUCGGCUAACUCCGUGCCAGCAGCCGCGGUAAUACGGAGGAUGCAAGCGUUAUCCGGAAUUAUUGGGCGUAAAGAGUCCGUAGGCGGUACCUCAAGUCUGCUGUUAAAGAAUGGAGCUUAACUCCAUCAAGGCAGUGGAAACUGUGGGACUAGAGUCUAGGAGGGGUAGAGGGAAUUCCCAGUGUAGCGGUGAAAUGCGUAGAGAUUGGGAAGAACACCGGUGGCGAAAGCGCUCUACUGGACUAGAACUGACGCUGAGGGACGAAAGCUAGGGGAGCGAAAGGGAUUAGAUACCCCUGUAGUC